rnacentral:rRNA from 1 species
AAUCAACGCUGGCGGCGUGCCUAACACAUGCAAGUCGAACGCGAAAGGGGGCUUCGGCUCCUAAGUAGAGUGGCGUCCGGGUGAGUAACACGUAGGUAAUCUGCCUUCGGGUGGGGAAUAACCAGUCGAAAGAUUGGCUAAUACCGCAUAAUGCAGCGGCACCUAAUGGUGAUUAGUUGUUAAAGCGGGGGAUCGUAAGACCUCGCGCCUGAAGAGGAGCCUGCGGCAGAUAGCUAGUUGGUGAGGUAAUGGCUCACCAAGGCUUCGAUCUGUAGCUGGUCUGAGAGGACGGCCAGCCACACUGGCACUGACACACGGGCCAGACUCCUACGGGAGGCAGCAGUGGGGAAUUUUGGGCAAUGGGCGAAAGCCUGACCCAGCAACGCCGCGUGAGGGAGGAAAUCCUUCGGGAUGUAAACCUCACAAGCAAGGGAAGAGAGCUCAGGGCCGAAUAAGCUUUGAGUCCGACGGUACCUUGCGUAAGCCACGGCUAACUACGU